rnacentral:rRNA from 1 species
GACGGGGGGGGCAAGUGUUCUUCGGAAUGACUGGGCUUAAAGCGUGUGUAGGCGGAUGCCUAAGUACCUUGUGAAAUCCCACGGCUCACCCGUGGAACGGCUGGGUAUACUGGGUGUCUUGAGCCACUUAGGGGCUGCCGGAACAAAUGGUGGAGCGGUGAAAUGCGUAGAUAUCAUUUGGAACGCCAAUGGUGAAAACAGGCAGCUGGGAGUGUGCUGACGCUGAGACACGAAAGCCAGGGGAGCGAACGGG